rnacentral:rRNA from 1 species
AACGAACGCUGGCGGCAUGCCUAACACAUGCAAGUCGAACGCCCCGCAAGGGGAGUGGCGAACGGGUGAGUAACGCGUGGGAACCUGCCCAGCAGUUGGGGAUAACCGCGGGAAACUGCGGCUAAUACCGAAUACGUCCUUUGGGAGAAAGAUUUAUCGCUGUUGGAGGGGCCCGCGUCGGAUUAGCUAGUUGGCGGGGUAACGGCCCACCAAGGCAUCGAUCCGUAGCUGGUCUGAGAGGANGAUCAGCCACACUGGGACUUAGACACCGGCCCAGACUCCUACGGGAGGCAGCAGUGGGGAAUAUUGGACAAGUGGGGCAACCCUGAUCCAGCAAUGCCGCGUGAGUGAUGAAGG